GAACUCAUUCUUGUUCCAUCAGUUUAGACUUAGCAGACUGGUGCGAGUUUCAUGAAGGUGUUUUGAUGAAAUCUGGUUGUUUACUCUGAGGAAAGAUGCUGCAAAUUGGGAAUUAAACAACAGCAUUGAUGGUUACUAGCUGUAAUGGUGUUAUCAACUACGCUAACAACUCAGGUGUGGUUAUUGAAGGAAGCGUCAGGGCCAAGUCACAGUGAUUCUUUUAAACUUCUUUGGCGUGUCCUGUUUGUCUCUCUCUUGAAUGCUUUGUGAGCUGUUCUUGUUUGAUAUCUGGAUGAAAACAUUAAUGAACGUUAUGUACAAGAUAUAAUUGCCUGAAAUUACAAACACAACUUCAUUUUUUUGGAGCUACAACUACAGAAGAAUAAUCUAUUGGGGACCACCAUCAAUAGAGCAUAAUUAUAUUACUACCAGGAUCUUGGAAAUCGACAGCGUUGCCGGGAUCAGUUGAAUAAUAACAAAUUAAUAACUGAUCAUCUCUUCAAUUUCAAAAAUGAAAGCAACACAAUGAAACCUAAAUGAGAACUGUCACUAACCUUCGAACAACAUUCAUGCUUUGUUGUUUCAGAAACUUUGCUUUGUCUUGCACAAUGUAAAAUCUUCGACUUUGUUACAGAAUUAUUUUGUUUGGGAUCAUGUAGUAAACAAUCUCUGUUUAAUUUGAGAGGUUUCGACAUUUGACAGUUCAUACGCAGGCUUAUUAUUUUAUUGGCACAUUCUGUCGUUGGACUGAUGCUCGACUGCUUGUCAUGUGAAAUGUUGCAAUCUUCUUUGGUUGGCACUGUUUGAUCUGUAUCUGAUGAGUUGCUCUUUCUAUAACCAAAAACUAUCAGAUAAGGACUGUCAAUUACACUUAAACUGCGACUAACGCCAAAUAUGAUUUUUGGUAUGUGUAAUAGUUGGGUGAUUUUAAGAAGAAAUGUAAGAUAUCUUUAUAGUAAAAACAUACAUCUUAAUAAACUUUUUGACUCUGAACGUCCCGGUUGUGAUGUCAUUUGGGGAAUUGCAAAUUAGUUUUCUCUUGUUUUCGGCGCCUGAAAUUCCUCAAAUGACAUCAUAUUGAGAGCCGAUUCAGC
rnacentral:lncRNA from 1 species